CAUAAGGCAGGAUGGAGUUGUCAUCACAUGGGCUGUGGAUGGAGCAGCCUUGAGAGAAAGGGAUGACUUGAGAAACAUUCAGAUAUUUGAGAAGAACUGCAAAGGCAAAAAGCUUUUUCCUUGGUCCAUUUCGGUUGCUCCAAACACACAGGCAUGGAGGGCCAUUGCUCUCCAACCUACUCUGGUACCACCCAUCAAAGGAUGCUGCUGAAAACUUUUAUUUAUCCAAAGGGAACCCAAGUUGUCUUUUGUUACCAUAAUAUGUGAAUAAGACCAGAAAUCUGUGCAAGUGUGGCUGAGGACCUUGACAGAGCGGCCCUACCUGGCCAAAGAAGAAACAGAACUUGGAGAGGGUCCUCACUAUCAACGUUGAGGCAAUGCUGAAUUGCUGAAUCAGCAGAAGACCACUGAUUCCUGAAUAAUCCAAGAAAAAUUAUCCCAACUCAAAGACACCAGCUAAAAACCCAGAAAAUUCAUUUUUAUCAAGAACCAGCAUGUGGUCCAUGGUGCCCAUUUACUCUGACAUCACAAUGUAAUGUAAGCUCCUAGAUUCCCCAACCUUCUCCAUACAACCCAAAUACAAAAUGCCAUCGUGGAGAGCAGAAGGAUGGUGAUAGAAAUCUGAGAACCUAAAUAUUUUUACGUAAAGACAGUGAACACCAUUGAAAGACAGGAGCGGUGUUCAGUUGUCCCUCCCCUCCCUAACUUAUUGCAGCUACACGGCUGUGGAGGACGAGCAUCUCUUCUGUUGAUUCAGGAAGACCCUCUUAUUAGUUCAGGUCAGUGCAAUAAUAAUCAUUAAAUAUUUUGAAUCUCCA
rnacentral:lncRNA from 1 species